UCCACAGGUGUAUCUAUCGUUCAACGAACGAGCGAAAAGGGUAUGCCACUGACCGACUCGGUAAUUAAUCGUCGCUUAUCGAUAAUAGAUAAGCGAGUGGAAUUAGAAGAGAGACAGGGAAGAAAGGGUGGAAGAGCGUUGGGGCUUCUGCGCGUGGCGGGAAAGGAAAUGUGGUAGGGGGAUGCAAGCCCAGAAGGGAGAGGAGGGGGGAGGGGAAAGAGAAACACGAUGUUGGGGUUGGAAAAGCGCGAUCCCUCAGUCGGGAUGCCGGCCGCGUAUCCUCUCGUCCUCGCUUCGUGCUACCGCGAUGUUCGGUGAACGUGCGAACCGUGUUUUGGGGAGCGUCGGCAACCGUUCGCGGUUCUUCACCGCUGCUACGCUUUUCCUACUUUCCAGUUUUGCGGCCAGUGUUUGGGCCGAUAAUUCGACCGGUUCCAUCGAGGGACCGAGCUUUACCGUGCCAAUAACAAACGUGACGAUCCCGAUGGGCAGGGAAGCCGUGCUCACUUGCGUCGUUGCAAAUCUUUCUAUCUACAAGGUAGCAUGGUUGCGUGUGGAUACACAAACUAUUCUAACGAUAGCGAAUCAUGUGAUAACAAAGAAUCAUAGAAUCGGAGUAACGCAUACCGAACGCAAGACAUGGCAUUUACAUAUACGCGAUGUGACCGAAUCCGAUCGAGGUGCUUAUAUGUGCCAGAUAAAUACCGAUCCGAUGAAGAGUCAAACCGGUUAUUUGGAUGUCGUAGUUCCGCCCGAUAUUUUAGAUUAUAUGACAAGCACGGAUAUAAUAGUCAGAGAAGGUAGCAAUGUGACAUUACGUUGUGCUGCUAAAGGAUCUCCAACACCAAAUAUUACAUGGAGGCGAGAAGAUGGAGAAACUAUAUUUCUCGAGAAUGGAAAAGAAGUGAAAAUUGUCGAGGGUUCGAUCUUCAAUAUCACCAAGAUAAGUCGAUUGCAGAUGGGUGCCUAUUUAUGCAUAGCCUCGAACAGUAUACCACCUACCGUCAGUAAAAGAAUAAUGCUUACGGUACAAUUUAGUCCAAUGAUUUCAAUCCAAAAUCGAUUGAUCGGGGCUCAAGAGGGACAAAGAAUAACCUUGGAAUGUAACUCGGAAGCGUUUCCGCAAUCCAUCAAUUAUUGGACGAAGGAAAACAAUGAAGUUAUAAAAAAUGGAGAUAAAUAUAACCAAUCAUUCACGAAUAACGUGUACAAAGUACACAUGAAACUCACGAUAUUAGCGGUGGAAAUGUCCGAUUAUGAAACAUAUAAAUGCAUAUCAAAAAAUUCUUUGGGGGAAACAAAUGGCAGUAUUAAACUUUAUCAUAUUCCGACACCAACGACACAGCCGAGAACCACGACUACUACUACUACUACUACUACUACUACUCCAGUUCCUACUACUAGCGAAGAAGGUAGAUGUGAAAUAAAAAUUUCAUCGACACAAGUUUAUAAUUAGCGUUUCAUACAGUAUGAUAUAUAACUGUAUACAAUUAUCGACAUCUAUAAAUUAGUUGAAAAUAUUCAAAAUUCACGACAAAGACCAGAACCCAGUGCAGAUCUUAAUGCGUAUCAAAUAACUGAUUCGUCAUUGCCUAACAUCGAACAUAGAACCGAUGAUAUACAUCUUUAUGGAAGGGCGAGCAGCGAUAGUUACAACGAUGCUGAAAAUGUUAUAACAACAAAUGGACGAAAAAGCAUCGACAGCGAAGUACGACCACGAAGAAUCGACAAUACGGCGCAAUCGAUGUCAUCCAGGGAUUCUAAUUCGAAUUUUCAAGUACAA
rnacentral:misc_RNA from 1 species